rnacentral:rRNA from 1 species
UACAGAGGUCUCAAGCGUUGUUCGGAUUCAUUGGGCGUAAAGGGUGCGUAGGCGGCGCGGUAAGUCGGGUGUGAAAUCUCGGAGCUUAACUCCGAAACUGCAUUCGAUACUGCCGUGCUUGAGGACUGGAGAGGAGACUGGAAUUUACGGUGUAGCGGUGAAAUGCGUAGAUAUCGGCAGGAACACCCAGGGGGAAACCAGCCGACUGGGCAUCUGCUGACGCUGAUGUGCGAGAGCGUGGGGAGCGAACCGG